UUAAAUGCCUACGCGCGGGCGGGCAGGGGAGGUGGCCUUUGCCGCAAUUCAGAGCCGGACGCGCAGUCUGAGCCACGCUGAGGGGCUGCGCCGCGCGCCUGCGUCCGCUCCCGGCCUUGCGCGGCCCCCUGCGCGGUGUCUUUCUAGUGACCAUUUCUCUAAAAGGGAUUGGGUGAGAAAUUUUGAUUAUGACAGAGAAAGUGAGAGAAGCUGACCGGGACCAUUUGCAGCUCCUUCCAGAUGGGACAGCCUCUGCCAUCACUGGUGAGCUGGAAUCUCUGGUGAUCUCUUUGAACCUAACCCACAAUAGCCGUCCGGGACCAGAUGCUCAGGAGACACCUGAGAGCAAUGCUUGGGGGGAAGGGGGUGUGAGUGGCUGCUAGUGUCAGUCCCUCUAAGGAGGGUUUUAUCUAAGACAGUCAGUACCCACCAAUACCAGGUGUCAUGCAUACCCACUCCGUCAUCCACAUAAUCAUCUCUCAACGUUACAGAAAUGUGAUAAAAGCUGGGUUUUUUUUGUUUGUUUGUUUGUUUGUUUUCCCUGCGGAGCCGUCCCCCUCUAUUCUGUUGCUGUGGUAAACAGCCAACUGGAUAAAAUUGAGAGGAGGAAAGGGUAUAUUUCCUGUGACGUUCGAAGUGUUGAUGAGAAGACCCUCUACUCGGAGGCAACAGGUAAGAAGCUGCCACUCUCUGUUUUGUUUUUUUCUGAAGGCUUUUUGGUUUGGGUCUGAUUUGGUUUUAUAAUCCAUACAUGCCCAGAAACUCUUAAUUCCCUGUCAUGCAAAGAACAAAUUAAAGGUAUACUCAUUCAUUGCUGAUAGAGAGCUGUUUGCCCCCAUCUCUCAAAAUUACAGACAUAUGCUCUUUGACCCAUUUCCAGGAUUUUAUCUCAUAGGUAUACAACAUGUAAGGUUGCUCUAGCAUUCCAGUAAUUAUGUUUCUCAUACACCAUUAUCUGGACUAGCAAAAGAUUGGCAAAACAUAGAUACCUAUCAGUGGGAGACUGGUCAAGAGGCCACAGUUCAUCCAUUAACUAGACUGUGUGUGCCACAAGAAAUAUUGUGGUGCCAUAAAUAAGAAUAAGACAAUCUAUAUAUGAUAUGGAGCUAGUUCAUUACUAUAUAUUCAGUGAAAAAACACAAAAUCUAGGACAAUGAAGGUAUUAUGUUAUCAUCAAUGUAGAAACAUAGGUUUUUCCCAUUCUCUUCCUUUUUUGUCUUCCUUUCAGAUCACCCCUUCCUUCCUUCCUAAGUAUGUCUAAAGCCACUAGGUAGAGUCUGCAUGGUAGGCCGGGGUUGAGGAGGAAGCCGCAGGGAUGGGGGCUUGCAACAGCCUCACACUGUAUGGGAGCUUGAGUGGAGUGGGAGUGGCCUAGCACAGGAAGUCCAAGUAGGAGAAAGAGGAGUUUGUGGGAAUGGCAGGGGCGGGGGCGGGGGUGGGGGGUGGUGGUCCUGAACCCACAGGGAGAAGGUAGCAUCUGCCGAGGAUGGCAGCUGUGAUGGGAGCCAGGCAUCUCACACCAGAGGAGUUCCAGGUAAGGAAAAACGGUAAACGAUUGGAGUUGGCGAUACUGGACAUGAAUAUUUUCUUAGUCUUUUGCUCUUGGAAAUAGUGUUACAGUGAGUAACUUUGUGUAUUGUCCAUUUGCACCCAUUUUGGCAAGUUACCCUCCAGUGGUUCAGGAGGAAACAGUUCUUUGUACUAGUCUCACAGUUUUUCUGUAAGCUUGAAGUUAUUCCAAAGUAAAAAGUAAUAAAUGGAAGGGAAGGGAAAAUACCUGUGUGUGUGUGUGUGUGUGUGUGUGUAUUUGUAUGGCAUAGAUUAUUUCCAAAAAGCCACACACACUAACAUUAACAUCUGUUGCCUCUGGGAAGGGGACCAGUAUAUUGGGAGGGAGAUUUCAUUGCAUUCCCUCGUGUACCUUGUGAAAGUGGUUUUGUGAAUUGAUUACCAGUAGAGGAACUAGGUUUUGUAAGGCCUAAAGCGUAUACAAUUUAAGACAUUUAAGAAAAAUAAAGCAAAAUUGGCUACAAAAGUAUUUCUUUUAGGAGUUCCCAUCGUGGCACAAUAGAAACAAAUCCAACUAGGAACCAUGAGGUUUUGGGUGCGAUUCCUG
rnacentral:lncRNA from 1 species